rnacentral:tRNA from 1 species
GCCUCCUUAGCUCAGUGGUAGAGCAACGUACUUGUAAUACGUAGGCCAUCGGUUCAAUCCCGAUAGGGGGCUCCA